rnacentral:rRNA from 1 species
GAUGAACGUUGGCGGCGUGCCUAAUACAUGCAAGUCGAACGAAGACUGUAGUAAUACUGUCUUAGUGGCGAACGGGUGAGUAACGCGUGGGUGACCUGCCCCGAAGUGUGGGAUAACAGUUCGAAAGAACUGCUAAUACCGCAUAACAUCCAAGAGAUUAGAAGCUUUUUGGAUUAAAGGAGUAAUUCGCUUCGGGAGGGGCCCGCGUCCCAUCAGCUAGUUGGUAAGGUAAUGGCUUACCAAGGCGAUGACGGGUAGGGGACCUGAGAGGGUGGCCCCCCACAAUGGAACUGAAACACGGUCCAUACACCUACGGGUGGCAGCAGUAGGGAAUAUUAGUAAUGGGCGAAAGCCUGAACUAGCAACGCCGCGUGUGCGAAGAAGGCCUUCGGGUUGUAAAGCACUUUUUGAGAGGAUGAGGAAGGACGGUACUCUCAGAAUAAGUCUCGGCUAACUACGUG